rnacentral:rRNA from 1 species
UACGGAGGGUGCUAGCGUUGUUCGGAAUUACUGGGCGUAAAGCGCGUGUAGGCGGUCCGCUAAGUCGGGUGUGAAAGCCCUGGGCUCAACCCAGGAAGUGCACUCGAAACUGGCGGGCUAGAGUACUGGAGAGGUUGGUGGAAUUCUCGGUGUAGAGGUGAAAUUCGUAGAUAUCGGGAGGAACACCGGUGGCGAAGGCGGCCAACUGGACAGAUACUGACGCUGAGACACGAAAGCGUGGGGAGCAAACAGG